rnacentral:sRNA from 1 species
GACUCUCUCUCCUCCUCGUCUGCAUCUUCCCUGCUAGCCUUUUGGGAAGAAACCAACUCAGCUAGUGAGCAAGAAACACAAGCUCCGAAGCCAGAAGCAUCCCCAUCGAUGUCUGUGGCUGCAUCAGAGCAACAGGAGGACAUGGCUCGGCCCCCGCAGAGGCCAUCCGCUGUGCCGUUGCCCGCCACGCAGGCCCUGGCUCUGGCUGGACCGAAGCCAAAAGCUCACCAGUUCAGCAUCAAGUCCUUCUCCAGCCCUACUCAGUGCAGCCACUGCACCUCCCUGAUGGUUGGGCUGAUCCGGCAGGGCUACGCCUGCGAGGUGUGUUCCUUUGCUUGCCAUGUGUCCUGCAAAGACAGUGCCCCCCAGGUGUGCCCAAUACCUCCCGAGCAGUCCAAGAGGCCUCUGGGCGUGGAUGUGCAGCGAGGCAUCGGAACAGCCUACAAAGGCCAUGUCAAGGUCCCAAAGCCCACGGGGGUGAAGAAGGGAUGGCAGCGCGCAUAUGCG